rnacentral:rRNA from 1 species
UAGGGAAUCUUCCACAAUGGACGCAAGUCUGAUGGAGCAACGCCGCGUGAGUGAAGAAGGUUUUCGGACCGUAAAGCUCUGUUGUUGGUGAAGAAGGAUAGAGGUAGUAACUGGCCUUUAUUUGACGGUAAUCAACCAGAAAGUCACGGCUAACUACGUGCCAGCAGCCGCGGUAAUACGUAGGUGGCAAGCGUUGUCCGGAUUUAUUGGGCGUAAAGCGAGCGCAGGCGGAAGAAUAAGUCUGAUGUGAAAGCCCUCGGCUUAACCGAGGAAUUGCAUCGGAAACUGUUUUUCUUGAGUGCAGAAGAGGAGAGUAGAACUCCAUGUGUAGCGGUGGAAUGCGUAGAUAUAUGGAAGAAUACCAGUGGCGAAGGCGGCUCUCUGGUCUGCAAACUGACGCUGAGGCUCGAAAGCAUGGGUAGCGAACAGGAUUAGAUACCCUGGUAGUCCAUGCCGUAAACGAUGAGUGCUAAGUGU